rnacentral:ncRNA from 2 species
CUGUAUGCGGGUGAUGGCGUCCACCCUUAACCGCCCGGCAAGGGCUGAUGACGCCUGUUUUCGG